AUUGAACGCUGGCGGCAGGCCUAACACAUGCAAGUCGAGCGGAUGAAGGGAGCUUGCUCCUGGAUUCAGCGGCGGACGGGUGAGUAAUGCCUAGGAAUCUGCCUGGUAGUGGGGGAUAACGUCCGGAAACGGGCGCUAAUACCGCAUACGUCCUGAGGGAGAAAGUGGGGGAUCUUCGGACCUCACGCUGUCAGAUGAGCCUAGGUCGGAUUAGCUAGUUGGUGGGGUAAAGGCCUACCAAGGCGACGAUCCGUAACUGGUCUGAGAGGAUGAUCAGUCACACUGGAACUGAGACACGGUCCAGACUCCUACGGGAGGCAGCAGUGGGGAAUAUUGGACAAUGGGCGAAAGCCUGAUCCAGCCAUGCCGCGUGUGUGAAGAAGGUCUUCGGAUGGUAAAGCACUUUAAGUUGGGAGGAAGGGCAGUAAGUUAAUACCUUGCUGUUUUGACGUUACCAACAGAAUAAGCACCGGCUAACUUCGUG
rnacentral:rRNA from 1 species